UACGUAGGGGCAAGCGUUGUCCGGAAUCAUUGGGCGUAAAGAGCGCGUAGGCGGCCGAUAAGUCGGCUGUGAAAGUCAAGGCUCAACCCUUGAAUGCCGGUCGGAUACUGUCGGCUAGAAGUCCGGAAGAGGCGAGUGGAAUUCCUGGUGUAGCGGUGAAAUGCGCAGAUAUCAGGAGGAACACCCAGUGGCGAAAGGCAG
rnacentral:rRNA from 1 species